AGAAAUGAUAACCAAGCUAUGUUACAGACUUUUAAGCCCCUAAAGAAUCAUUUCAACAAAAUAUUAUGAUAUGUUGUGAUUUUCUUGCCUGGAAAUUGAUGAAAUUUUUGAGUCAUAUGGAGUCUAUAGAGAAUUUGUUGUUGUUAUAACUAUGCUUAGCUCUUAAAUAUUUUACCAGCUAUAAAGUGCUUCUUCUUGUUGUUGAAAUAUAUGUCUAUAAAAAUGUUUUCUCUGUGAAAAAGAUUUCUCUAUAUCUCAUACAAUGAUUAAAAAAAAAUUAUUUCUGCUGGUUUUGGGCAGCUGAAAAAGUCAAGGAAAGUCGGAACCUUGACUGCUGUGUUGCCACAAGAGGAACAGGAGCCAAAGCUCAGCAUGGUGUGAGAAGGUUGCCCUCAGGCAAGCGUGAGACUGGCCUUGGUAAUUGGCACCGGUGAAUGAGAGGGUCCUGGCACGACUCUGAAAACCAGAGGGAGGAUCCCACAGUAGUCUCAUUUUGUUUCUCUCCCCUGGGCACUGGAAAAGUCUUGCUGUAUGCACUUCGCUCAGCUUCAGGCAGAGGUGUUAAUAGAGCCUCUUGUGGAUCAGCGUCUCCCCAGUCUACACUAUCAUUAGCCCUGGGGUGGGCCAGAGGGAAAGAGAGGGACUGUGGCACAUCUCUUGUCAUUUACCCUGUUUUUUUUU